rnacentral:rRNA from 1 species
GGGUUGUGAGGUUAAGCGACUAAGCGUACACGGUGGAUGCCCUGGCAGUCAGAGGCGAUGAAGGGCGUGCUAAUCUGCGAUAAGCGCCGGUAAGGUGAUAUGAACCGUUAUAACCGGCGAUACCCGAAUGGGGAAACCCAGUGUGAUUCGUCACACUAUCAUUAACUGAAUCCAUAGGUUAAUGAGGCGAACCGGGGGAACUGAAACAUCUAAGUACCCCGAGGAAAAGAAAUCAACCGAGAUUCCCCCAGUAGCGGCGAGCGAACGGGGAGGAGCCCAGAGCCUGAAUCAGCAUGUGUGUUAGUGGAAGCGUCUGGAAAGGCGCGCGAUACAGGGUGACAGCCCCGUACACAAAAGCGCAUGUGCUGUGAGCUCGAUGAGUAGGGCGGGACACGUGGUAUCCUGUCUGAAUAUGGGGGGACCAUCCUCCAAGGCUAAAUACUCCUGACUGACCGAUAGUGAACCAGUACCGUGAGGGAAAGGCGAAAAGAACCCCGGCGAGGGGAGUGAAAAAGAACCUGAAACCGUGUACGUACAAGCAGUGGGAGCCCCACCACCAAAGCAUUUGCUGUACCGCGUUGACGGAGCGAAGCGACGUCAAACCGAUAAAACAGCAGUGUAAAGUGA